rnacentral:rRNA from 1 species
GGAUACCCGAGGGAAACUUCGGUUAAUACGGUAUAAGACCACACUACCGCAUGGUAGAGGGGUAAAAGGGGCAACCUGGUAUGAGAUGGACUCGCGUCGCAUUAGCUAGUUGGUGAGGUAACGGCCCACCAAGGCGACGAUGCGUAGCCGACCUGAGAGGGUGAUCGGCCACAUUGGGACUGAGAUACGGCCCAGACUCCUACGGGAGGCAGCAGUGGGGAAUAUUGGGCAAUGGAGGAAACUCUGACCCAGCAAUGCCGCGUGAAUGAAGAAGGUCUUCGGAUUGUAAAGUUCUUUAGUCAGGGAAGAAGUCAAUGACGGUACCUGAAGAAUAAGCUCCGGCUAACUACGUGCCAGCAGCCGCGGUAAUACGUAGGGAGCAAGCGUUGUUCGGAAUGACUGGGCGUAAAGGGUGCGUAGGCGGUUGUACAAGUUAGAAGUGAAAUACCCAGGGCUUAACUCGGGUGCUGCUUCUAAAACUGUAUGACUUGAGUGCAGUAGAGGUUAGUGGAAUUCCUAGUGUAGCGGUGGAAUGCGUAGAUAUUAGGAGGAACACCAGAGGCGAAGGCGGCUAACUGGACUGCAACUGACGCUGAGGCACGAAAGUGUGGGGAGCAAACAGGAUUAGAUACCCUGGUAGUCCACACUGUAAACGAUGGAUAAUAGAUGUAGGAGGUAUCGACUCCUUCUGCGCCGCA